GUGCCGCUGGGGCCGUGACAGGCUCUGUGUUCACAGGGAUGGCUGGGCAGUACCUGAGGGGGAAGAAGGAAGAGCUCCAGCUGAUCUGCACUGCCCUUGAACACCUGACAGAGGACAUCAGCAGUGCCGUGUCAGACAUGGCACUUCAAACAUUGUAUGUCCUCUGGGCACUGCAGAGUGAGCGAUAUACCCUCUUCCAGAGGCUGCAAGAUCAAUUCCGCAGGGCAUGGAGGACAUGGCCUCGUCUGUCGGGGCUCGACUGGCUGCGCUGCUGGAGCUCUGCAGAGAGCUGAUCCCAGAGGCUCUGUCUGCUGGGGCCACCUGAGCCAGCAGGAAUUCUCAGUUUCUUUAGGAUUGUUCUUCUUUUUGUUUUUUUUCUUUAGUCUAUGAAUAUAGACUGUGUUAUAAUACACAGACUCCCAGGAGUUUUCUUUUGCUGCCCAGGGUCUGCAGGUCAUAGGGGAAGAGGGGGAAAAGGGUGCCUGGGCUCAGCCAGCUGCCCAGACGUGCAGUGUAGCAGGGAAAAUGGUCAGAAGGCCCUUGGCCUUUGGUGGUUCUUCUGAAGCCUUUGUGCUGCCGACAGAGCGGCUGGGCAGGGGCCGGAGCUGCAGGGAUCCUAGGAUCCUACGAGUGUUCCAAGUGUGGGAAGAGGUUUCGGAUCAGCUCCAGUCUCAUCCUGCACUAUCAGAUUCACUCAGAGGAGAGGCCCUUCCUCUGCCCUGACUGUGGGAAGGGAUUCAAGUGCAACUCCACCCUCAUCACCCACCGGCACAUCCACACUGGGGAGAGGCCCUACGAGUGUCCCCAGUGUGGGAAGAACUUCUCACAGAGCUCUACCUUGACCAAACACCAACGGAGGCACCGGUAAGGGAAGCCCUGCGAGUGCCCCGAGUGCAGGAAGAGCUUAGUGCGCUGCUCCAGCUCCAUCCCCCACUGGAGGAGCCACUUUGGGCACAGCCCUGGUCACCCACAUUCCCUGUGAUCCAUUUUGGGAACACACCUGGCUGCUUAUCCAUGUGUUUGGCCUUAAUUUUUUUCUCUUCUCCAUCUCUCUGUACUCCAAAAGCCAAGAGGGAUCGAUCUGUCGCCUCAAAUCCCACUGAAAAGAACUGUAUUUUUACCCAAAAUGGCUCAAUUCCACCUCAAAUUUCUUGUUCCCUCCUCAAAAAAAGUCAGUCCCAGGCCAAAUUCGCUCCAUGCCACAGCUGCCAGGCUGAGAUGGAGUUGGGAGGAGAUUGGGAGAAGUGGGAUCCCAGUUUGGAGCAGUGGGAUGGGGAUUGUGUGGGGCUGGCUGGGUGGGAUGUAUUUGAUAGCAAAUAAAACUUUCAGAGUUACU